rnacentral:lncRNA from 1 species
UCCUUCUUCUUCUUCUUCUUCUUCUUCUUCUUCUUCUUCUUCUUCUUCUUGCCAAUGUUGUCUGUCUACAUAACCCUGUCAGUGCUAGAAGUCUCUAUGUAGAUUAGGCUUUCCUUGAACUAACAGACAUCCCCCUGCCUCUGCCUCACAAAUGCUGGUAUCAAAGGCUUGCAUCAUUAUGCCUGGGGUCUUUUUUGGGGGGUGGGGAUCAUUGUCUGGUUUUGAUAUCAGGGUAGUAGUAGCUUUAUAAAAAUAACUUGGAAGGUUUCCUUUGUUUUCUAUUUUGUGAACUUAUUUGAAGAGUGUUGGUGUUAGUUCUUUGAAAGUCUUAAAGAACUAUGCACUAAAUCCAUCUCUAAGCUUUGUUAGUUGGAAGAUAUUUAGUUACUACUUCUAUCUCAUUAAAUGCCAUUACUCUUUUUAAAAUUAUUUCAUUUUGAUUUAGAUUUAUUAAAACAUUUAUAUCUAAAAGUGAAUUCAUUCUUCAACUUUUGUGAAAUAUAAAAAUUUUAAAUAUGCUCUUGUGAUUCUCUGAAUUUCCUCAGUGUCCAUUGUAAUGUCUCCCUUUCAGCUCUAAUGUGAUUAAUUUUGAUUCCCCUCUUUCUUUUUUCAAUAUGUCUAAAGGUUUGUCAACAUUUUUUCCCCUAAGAAUCAACUUUUUAUUUUUUUUUCAGUACUAUUUAAAAACACAAUGUAUUCCUUGGUAUAAGACCUUCUAGAACAGGUUUUCUUCCCUCUUUUUGUGUUUGUUUUGUUUUGUUUUGUUUUGUUUUGUUUUGUUUUGUUUUGAGACAGGCUCUUCUGUGUAGCCCUGACUGUCGUGGAACUCACUCAGUAGACCAGAUUGACCUCGAACUCAGAGAUACCAGCCUCUCAAAUGCUGGGAUUAAAGGCAGGUGCCACCAUUGCCUAGCUCAGAACAGGUUUUUCAAACCCCUCAGAACCACAGAAAGCUCUUCUGCUAUCUUAACAGGUUGAAGUGCUGUAGACAUCAGGACAUUAGUAAAGCAGAGCCUCUCCCUACCCAGGAAAGCACAGUCCUAUGUGGCACAGACAAGGAGAUAACCAACCACAUAAUUAGCUGUAAGUAAUCAGAACCUGGGACAGUAGAAAUGUGCCAUAUGUGAUAUCAGCGAACUCAAGAGUCUCUUCUCACAUAUGCUUUCAUGCCAAUGUUACUAAGUCAUGUUCUACAAGUGCCCUGACUCCCUUUGUAUUCUGCAUAGAUGGAAAUUCCAUGGAACUGAGUUGUCCAGGAGAUUACUAAUAAAGCUGCAUUAUAUCAAAUCAUCGCAACUCAAACCCAGUAGCUCCUGUUCAAGUCAAGGCGACUGAUGUCCUGGCCAGUCUCUCAUAUGAUAGGGCUCUACACCAAUCUUUGCUAGAAGUCAGAUGGAAGAGGAAGCCAGUGUAGCAAUCUGCCACACUUACAUAGUGUUCUGAAGCACAGCCUUGGGGUGAGGGUGGGGGGCAUGAGCUCUGGAGACCAGGUAAGUGGGAGAUAAUGCUGCUUUAGCAUAGACAUCAGACCAGCAAUAUGUGCAUUUAACAAAGCUGUGCUGGGGGAAAGGGAGGCAAGGGAGCUAAAAAUGGGUAAAGAAAGGAUGUUAUCAAACAUAUCGGGGGGAAAUCAAACAGUUGAGGCAGAGCAAUGCCAACCUUCAUUGGAAAGGUGCUGCUAGAAUGUUGAAAAUUCUAAGAGAUGCCUUUAAGUAGACACUUGCAGGUCUCUUAUUUCACAUCAUGUGCUGGGAGCUGGCAAGGCUUUAUCAGAGAAAGGGCACAGCUCUAAGCCUGGGUUAUAGCCAAAGAAUUCCAUGCUACUUACUUCAUUCUAUCAUAAUCUGACAGUAGGAAUUAUACUCUUAAGAAAAUAUUGUUCAGCCGAAUAGCUAGAAAAGAAUAAUCAGGGAGCCAGGAACGCAAGGCUCAGCAGAGCCUGCAGGGAAAGGGUUGCUAAUUCUUGGCAUCAUGUGUUUCUAUGCAAACAUAGAAGUUGGUAUGCUGUGGGCCUGAUAACUCAGAGAGUUUGCAUCAAGUGCCAACAAAGCAAAGCGCAAAUCCAUAAAAGGUAAAGAAAUGAGAUUUCAUUGAACAUGAACGUAUAGAAGCUAAGUCAGUGAUAAAUCUUGCCAAACACACACACACACACGUUGAUUAAAAUGGGAAAAAAAUAUUCUAACACAAAAGUGUAACUUGGGAACCAGGGGCACAUGUCUGUGACUUUGGCAUUCAGAAAGUUGAGGCAGGAGAGUGGUGAGUUUGACCAGCUGGGGCAACAUAGUAAGACACUUCUCUCCUUCCAAACAAGAAGGGGAAUUUGGACUUUAACAGAAGGAAAAGCAGCAGUGGUUAGAACUUGCACCGAACAGUUGUGCAAGUUCUUUGGAGUGUGUUUCUGUGUGUUCAUUCAGCAUGCCUCACAGAUCCGGGUACUGAGCAUGGAUGGAAAAAGCCUGAUGACACAAGACUCUGGAAAUAUUUGCCUUUACCAUCAAUUCCUUGGGGCAGAAAAUAACAAGAUUUGGCUGUCAAAGAGAAACUACAUCCUAGACAGAAUAAUGGCACCACAGAGAUGCCACAGAGUUGGAGGGAGCUGUGUAUAAACCCACAUAUUUUCCAACAGGAAGAUUACAAGAGUCAGAUCUUGCCUGGAUAAUUGAUAUUGCAGGAUGUAGAGUGCCCUCAACAUUUUUCAGAUUUCUCAAAUGUUUUGACUUAUAAUCAACAGUGCUGAGAAUGCUACUUCCCAUGUGUAGUACAAAAAUGGCAAAAUUCUGUCUCAAACACCUUGUGCAUGGAAAGCCAUUCUAGCCUCAUUUAAAACCUUGAAAGAUACAAGUAAGAGCUUCACUUUACAAACAAACGAGGUGGAAUCAGAGAAAUUCAGAGAUGAUGAAAAUUUACAGGACUUGGUAGAUAUAGAGCUAUGUGACAAGACCUCGUGGAACUGGAUCCAGAAUUGGCUCUGAGCUACAGUGUGGCACCGCUUAAAACACUGGCCAGUUGACCAGACCAGUGGGAAAAUAUCUGCCUUAAAGUUAAUAUCACACUUGUAGAUACUAGCAGGCUUGAAAGUCCCUGGGAAGGGUCCCUUCCUCAUAUUCAUAUUCUAGCUCUACUGCAUAUAUCCUUGGUGAUACAUUGAUUUUAGAAAGAGGGAAAUCACAAUUUCCCUUCCUUAGCUAUGUGAAAGGAAGGAGAAAUGGGCAAAGAUAAAUACUGCCCACUCCCUUAAGAGAUAAUCUUCCUUAAAAGGUAAUCUAAAUAUUUAUUCCUCUUAUUUUCCUCAUUUGUUAGUUUAUCCCUUUUCUUUUCUUUAUUUAUUUUAAUUAGAUGUUUUCUUUAUUUACAUUUCAAAUGUUAUCCCUCUUCCCAGUUUCCUCUCAGAAAAAUCCCCUAUUCCCCUCCCCACCACUCUGCUCCCC